GAUGAACGCUAGCGGCAGGCUUAAUACAUGCAAGUCGAGGGGCAUCAAGGUACACGAAAGUGUAUUGUUGGCGACCGGCGGACGGGUGAGUAAUAGGUAGGUAACCUACCUCAUACUGAGGCAUAGCUGGGAGAAAUUCCAGGUAAUUCCUCAUGAGGUUAUAUGACACAUGUGAUAUAAUCAAAGGUAUCGCAAGGUACUGGUAUGAGAUGGGCUUACUGACCAUUAGCUAGUUGGUGAGAUAAGAGCUCACCAAGGCGAAGAUGGUUAGGGGUUUUGAGAGAGAGAUCCCCCACAUUGGAACUGAGAUACGGUCCAGACUCCUACGGGAGGCAGCAGUAGGGAAUAUUGGGCAAUGGCGGAAGCCUGACCCAGCCAUGCCGCGUGAAGGAAGACGGCCUUAUGGGUUGUAAACUUCUUUAACUAUGCGACUAACUAGAUUUACGAGAUAAUUCUAUAGAAUGUAGCAUAGACAAAAAGCAACCC
rnacentral:rRNA from 1 species